rnacentral:rRNA from 1 species
GGGGUGCAUAGGUUACGUAGCUUUGCGCAACGCCCGACAAAUGGCACGAGGGGGGUAUAUAUCCUCAUUCUCUGGGAUGAUACCUUGGUGGAGAUGUCCAACAUCACCUUUACAACCUAUUGCCUCUCAGCCAUGGUUCGUGUUAGGGAUUCAGCCGCGAGAUUUAAGAUAACAACUGUUUAUGGCCUGACCGACCCCUCGCUUAAAGACGUGUUCUUUGCCGAGCUCAUUAGCCAGAAGCCGCCUGUUGGGGUCGCUUGGAUCGCCUCCAGGGAUUUCAACCAGAUUUAUCGGGCAAGGGAUAAAAAAAGAAACGUUAACACCAGUCGAAUCAACUGGUUCCGUGCAACUCUCAAUAGUUGUGAGCUUAAAGAAAUCCACCUCCAAAAUAGGAGGUUCACCUGGAGCAAGUAGAGACCAAACCCAACCCUGAGCAAGCUUGACUCUUUCUUUUGCAAUGCGGAGUUGGACACCACCUUCAACGACCAUGUGCUCCAUGCACUUUCUUCGUCCCUAUCUAACCAUUGCCCGCUCCUGAUCGCCGAUGAUAAGGGUCCUAGGAGGCCUAAGACUUUCAAAUUUGAGAACUUUUGGAUUUCUAUGCCUGGCUUCAGUGAUGUGGUCCAAAAGGCCUGGGUCGAGCCUAUUGAUCACACCGAGCCACACAUUAUCCUUUUCCACAAGCUAAAGAAAACGGCGAUGCGCCUCUCACAAUGGAGUAGCGGUCUCUUCUCUAAAGCUAAGAUCCAUCUCCAUGCCGCCCUCUUGGUGAUCCUCCUCCUCGACAUUGCUCAGGAGGGAAGGCUGCUCUCCCCUGAGGAGCUCGACCUUCGGGCUAGGCUCAAGAGAAGGGUCAUAAGCCUGCCCAUGCUCGAGAAAGCACGCAAGAAGCAAUGUGCCAGAAUCGCAAACAUCAAAGAAGGUGAUGCCAACACGAAGUUCUUUCACCGUCGGGUUAAUGCGCGAAGGAGGAAAAACCACAUUCACCGUAUCAUAAAUGAUCAAGGGUGGAUGACCGAGCACAACGCUAAGGAAAAAAUAAUUCACGACCAUUUCUCGCAUAUAAUGGAAAGGGAAAGCGCAAGCACAAAGGACUUCAAUUGGGAGGAACUCAACCUGGAGUUGCAUGACCUGCAUGAUGACCCACAAGUAUAG